rnacentral:rRNA from 1 species
UUGAUCCUGGCUCAGAACGAACGCUGGCGGCAGGCCUAACACAUGCAAGUCGAGCGCAGUCCUUCGGGACCGAGCGGCGGACGGGUUAGUAACGCGUGGGAACAUACCCUUUUCUACGGAAUAGCCUCGGGAAACUGAGAGUAAUACCGUAUAAGCCCUUCGGGGGAAAGAUUUAUCGGGAAAGGAUUGGCCCGCGUUAGAUUAGAUAGUUGGUGGGGUAACGGCCUACCAAGUCUACGAUCUAUAGCUGGUUUUAGAGGACGAUCAGCAACACUGGGACUGAGACACGGCCCAGACUCCUACGGGAGGCAGCAGUGGGGAAUCUUGGACAAUGGGCGCAAGCCUGAUCCAGCCAUGCCGCGUGUGUGAUGAAGGCCUUAGGGUCGUAAAGCACUUUCGCCAGAGAUGAUAAUGACAGUAUCUGGUAAAGAAACCCCGGCUAACUCCGUGCCAGCAGCCGCGGUAAUACGGAGGGGGUUAGCGUUGUUCGGAAUUACUGGGCGUAAAGCGCACGUAGGCGGACUAGUCAGUCAGAGGUGAAAUCCCAGGGCUCAACCCUGGAACGGCCUUUGAAACUGCUAGUCUUGAGUUCGAGAGAGGUGAGUGGAAUUCCGAGUGUAGAGGUGAAAUUCGUAGAUAUUCGGAGGAACACCACUGGCGAAGCGGCUCACUGGCUCGAUACUGACGCUGAGGUGCGAAAGUGUGGG